rfam:Triticum aestivum genome assembly, contig: Triticum_aestivum_CS42_TGACv1_scaffold_019319_1AS
AUUGUCCUCUCUCCGUCCGGGAUUACUUGUUGCAAAAAUGGAUGUAUCUAGACGUAUUUUAGUUCUAGAGAUAUCUAUUUUUAUCAAUUCCCGCGACAAGUAAUUCCAGACAGAGUGAGUAUCUG